rnacentral:lncRNA from 1 species
AACGCUUGUGUUUCUUAUGAGGGUCCAUACAUGAUUAGCUACUUUGUAGACUACCUAGCGGGAGUAGAGACAUUCCCUCAUGAGGGAUACAUUUUGGCUGGAAUAUUCUUCACCGCAAAGUUAGUUGAGACCUUAACGACAGACUACCUAGCAGGAGUGGAGACAUUCCCUCAUGAGGGAUACAUUUUGGCUGGAAUAUUCUUCUCCGCAAAGUUGGUUGAGACCUUAACGACCCGGCAGUGGUAUCUUGGAGUCGACAUUUUGGGCAUGCAUGUGAGAUCAGCUCUCACCGCAAUGGUAUAUCGCAAGGGACUGAGGCUCUCGAGUUCAUCUAGGCAAAGUCACACUAGUGGAGAGAUUGUUAAUUACAUGGCAGUAGAUGUUCAGAGAGUAGGCGACUACUCGUGGUAUCUUCAUGAUAUAUGGAUGCUGCCUCUUCAAAUCAUUCUGGCUCUUGCUAUUUUGUAUAAAAAUGUUGGUAUUGCAUCUGUGGCAACUCUAGUUGCCACUAUUAUUUCCAUUGUUGCAACGGUCCCAUUAGC